rnacentral:tRNA from 1 species
GGCAUGGCUCAGUGAUAGAGCAUUUGCUUUGUAUUCUGAAAGGUCCACAGUUCAAUCCCUGGUAUCUCCA